UUCAACUCGAGUUCACUGUUCACGUAAGUUUGAGAAAAAAAGUUGAAGAAGUUUUAGUCCUUGUUUUAUCUAAAUUUUGGGCCAUAUUAAUAAAAUGGAAUAUUGGGCCUUAUUGAUUUAAUUCUUUGGGCCUAAUGCAUUACUUAAAAUAUUUGGGCCUACUAUUUUGAUAAGGAGUUGGAAUAAUGGAUGAUUGGGCCGGAGUACUUUAAAUCAAUGGGUGACUUCACACACGCUUUUCGAGGACAGAAUGAAACACAAGUUAAAGCUUUAAACGAACGAGGUUGAGCGGUGACGAGCGCGGUGGGUGUUGAGCAUAAAAGUGAAGAAUGUCUAUCAAAUGUCUAGAAUAUGUUGUGUCUUCAUACAUAGCAUUAUUCUACUCUCGAAAUGCUUCCGCUGAAUGUUGUUUCUUUUGAGUUUAUGUAUUGUUGGGAUAUAAUCCCUUUAAGUUGUCAAUUGUUGAGAUGAUACUCUGAUUUUUUUUUAUUCGAGCUAUUCCCAUUUGUUUCGAGCUA